rnacentral:tRNA from 1 species
GGUCUUAUAUUCAUGUUUGUGAUGCUAGAAUGCAAUUCUAGCGGGGUGAAAUUGGUCACUAAGGUCU